GACGAAGGGGGGCUAGCGUUGUUCGGAAUUACUGGGCGUAAAGCGCGUGUAGGCGGUUGCCCAAGUCGGGUGUGAAAGCCUUGAGCUCAACUCAAGAAAUGCACUCGGUACUGGGUGACUAGAGGACCGGAGAGGAUAGUGGAAUUCCCAGUGUAGUGGUGAAAUACGUAGAGAUUGGGAAGAACACCAGUGGCGAAGGCGGCUACGUCUGGAC
rnacentral:rRNA from 1 species